rnacentral:rRNA from 1 species
GAUGAACGCUGGCGGCGUGCCUAAUACAUGCAAGUCGAGCGAACGGACGAGAAGCUUGCUUCUCUGAUGUUAGCGGCGGACGGGUGAGUAACACGUGGAUAACCUACCUAUAAGACUGGGAUAACUUCGGGAAACCGGAGCUAAUACCGGAUGAUAUUUUGAACCGCAUGGUUCAAAAGUGAAAGACGGUCUUGCUGUCACUUAUAGAUGGAUCCGCGCUGCAUUAGCUAGUUGGUAAGGUAACGGCUUACCAAGGCAACGAUGCAUAACCGACCUGAGAGGGUGAUCGGCCACACUGGAACUGAGACACGGUCCAGACUCCUACGGGAGGCAGCAGUAGGGAAUCUUCCGCAAUGGGCGAAAGCCUGACGGAGCAACGCCGCGUGAGUGAUGAAGGUCUUCGGAUCGUAAAACUCUGUUAGUAGGGAGGAACAUAAGUGUAAGUAACUGUGCACAUCUUGACGGUACCUAAUCAAAAAGCCACGGCUAACUUCGUG